UGGGGAAUCUUGGACAAUGGGGGCAACCCUGAUCCAGCGAUGCCGCGUGGGUGAAGAAGGCCUUCGGGUUGUAAAGCCCUUUAGGUUGGGAAGAAGGAUAGCUGCUGAAUAAGUGGUUAUCUUGACGGUACCGACAGAAUAAGCACCGGCAAACUCUGUGCCAGCAGCCGCGGUAAUACAGAGGGUGCGAGCGUUAAUCGGAAUUACUGGGCGUAAAGGGCGCGUAGGCGGUUGUAAACGUGCGAUGUGAAAGCCCUGGGCUUAACCUAGAAGAGCAUCGCAAACGAUAGAACUAGAGUAUAGGAGAGGGUGGCGGAAUUUCCGGUGUAGCGGUGAAAUGCGUAGAGAUCGGAAGGAACGUCAAUGGCGAAGGCAGCCACCUGGCCUAAUACUGACGCUGAGGCGCGAAAGCGUGGGUAGCGAACAGG
rnacentral:rRNA from 1 species